GAGUUAUGUGAAUACAGGGCAGUUUUAGGUUUGGUGACAGAAAGAUAAGGGAAUUCAUAGCCAAACAUAUGUUUUCUCUGUAAAGUAAAACAUGUAGUACCUAUGGGGACACCCAGGGCCUCAGUGGAGACACCCAGCCAGGUGGCAUUCAGGAGAGAGGAAUGGGCUGAGAUAAGCGUUUGAGCAUCCCAUGCAGAGUGGAGACAACUCUUGGGAUUAGGGGACAUUAUCUAUGCUUCCUAACAGUGGCCUUGGGGGUGCUAUGCAGCUAAAGUACAGUGGAGAGGAAGGGCGUAAGCAAGGUCAUUUAGAACAAUAGGUUAUUGGCCUCCAGUCUGAUUUGUAAGUCCGUGCACACAUGGGUGGGGCCUGAACCACCAGGAUGAGAACCACUAUGCCCUGUGCCCACAGGGGUGGUCACGUUUGCUGAUUAUGUUCCCAACACCUGGGAACCUCAACAGAGUGCUGUGGCUGGAGGGUGACGAGGGCCUGGGGCAACAAGAGGAUGGACCAUAAGCCUGAGCCCACUUCCCUUACUGCCACAACAGAACGUGCAAACACAUUUCUAGGCAGACAGAUGUGAUGAGAUUCAAUAAACUGAGCUUUCUAAUAGGAAUGGGGUGAGGAGGAAACAGCUCUCAGAUUUAACUGCCUCAGGGUUAUCGUUUCUGAGUCUCCCUGUGUUGUGUGUUGGUGGAUAGGAUGCUGGCACCAUGCGUGACAGGGUUGGCUUCUUCUCCAGGGGCAGAAAAGAGCCUCUAAUGGCCCCAAUUCAGCCCCAGGACUGAGCUUUUGGUGCUUUGGGAGUUUCAGGACUUUUCAACACCCAACUCCUCUUCCUUCUGCACCCCACCCCCAACCCCCAGCCCAGCCCUCCAAAGCAUGAGGACAAAAAAAGUGCUUUAUUGCAAUGUCUUUAUUGCAUUACUGGAGCAAGUUGGCCAGACUGUCCCCUCUUGGGGAAGGUAAAAAACAAAAAGACCAAAGAGUAUCUCCCCUCACCUUCCCCCCACCCUCCCCCACAACUGCACAGCAAUGUCUGAACACAUCUGGUGACAAGAACAAUUUGCAAAAGUAGUCUAGGAACUACAUUAUGAACUGUCCCAACACAAGACAUAUAGUUGGCUUCCUUGUGAAUCAGAUAUUUUACGUAACUACAUGAAUUUUUUUGACUACAUCAAAGACAACAGAAGAAUAGGUUUUUCACGAGUAACAACAGGGCACCAAAGUCACAUGCUGGAAUUUUUAAGGAAACAAGGUUGUCACAAGUGGCUAGAGCGAGAGCAAGGCUGAGCAAUUGAUAGCAGAGGGCCCAGCCAGGUCCCCAUCUGGACCCUCUGCUUUGAGGCCACUGAAGCCUCACAGAGACCUACUGUGGAGUCUUAACUGGCAACAGAAACCACCUUGAAAAACCAGGAAUUUUCCAGAUGCAGUUCUUGGCCGAAGAGGACCAUGAGGCUGGUUCCUUGCCGCAAGAAGAGGAGACCCAUGGAAGACGCCACAUUGGCACUCAAAGCUUCUUCGAAGCACAUGAGGUCCAAAAUGCCAUUCUACCACAGAACCGAAUCUGCCUUCUUUUGGGGAGGAUGUUAGGAGAGACUGCCAGAUCAAAACAGAGCUCCCGACAGAGCCCCGGCCCACCACACUCCCCAAGGAACACGACCUCUCAGGAAAGAGGACAUGGAGUCUUCAGAGGCUUCCAGACACAACCCCCACCCCCAUCAGGCCUAAUGUGUUCUGUAGAGGGUGCUUGGCUAAACGAAACAAAAACCCCAAUUAAA